rnacentral:tRNA from 1 species
GCGGGAAUAGCCUCAGUUGGUAGAGCAUAACCUUGCCAAGGUUGGGGUCGGGAGUUCGAGUCUCCUUUCCCGCUCCA